rnacentral:rRNA from 1 species
CCCUUAGAUGUUCUGGGCCGCACGCGUGCUACACUGAGUGGAUCAGCGGGUCAGGUUGCGCGAAAGUGUUUCCUAAUCUUGAAAUCCGUUCGUGAUGGGGAUUGACGGUUGCAAUUUUCCGUCAUGAACGAGGAAUACCUUGUAAGCGCGGGUCAUCAUCCCGCGCUGAAUACGUCCCUGCCCUUUGUACACACCGCCCGUCGCUCCUACCGAUUGAGUGGUCCGGUGAGGCUUUGGGAUCUGAGCGGAAAGAGCGUUUCGCUGUUUCUGCUCGGAAAACUCAGUCGAACCUUAUCAUUUAGAGGAAGGAGAAGUCGUAACA